UGCAGCCGCGGUAAUUCCAGCUCCAAUAGCGUAUAUUAAAGUUGUUGCAGUUAAAAAGCUCGUAGUUGAAUUUCGGGAUUGACACAUCGGUCGUGCCUUAAGGGGUAUGAACUGGUGUAGUCAAUUUCUCACCUUCUGGAGAACCGCGAUGCCCUUAAUUGGGUGUCGCGGGGAACCAGGACCUUUACUUUGAAAAGAUUAGAGUGUUUAAAGCAGGCAUUUUGCUUGAAUACAUUAGCAUGGAAUAAUAAAAUAGGACGGCAUGAUUCUAUUUUGUUGGUUUCUAGGAUCACCGUAAUGAUUAAUAGGGAUAGUUGGGGGCAUUAGUAUUCAAUUGUCAGAGGUGAAAUUCUUGGAUUUAUUGAAGACUAACUACUGCGAAAGCAUUUGCCAAGGAUGUUUUCAUUAAUCAAGAACGAAAGUUAGGGGAUCGAAGACGAUCAGAUACCG
rnacentral:rRNA from 1 species